CAGCAGCCGCGGUAAUACGUAGGGUGCGAGCGUUAAUCGGAAUUACUGGGCGUAAAGCGUGCGCAGGCGGUUCGUUAAGACAGAUGUGAAAUCCCCGGGCUUAACCUGGGAACUGCAUUUGUGACUGGCGAGCUAGAGUGUGGCAGAGGGGGGUAGAAUUCCACGUGUAGCAGUGAAAUGCGUAGAGAUGUGGAGGAAUACCGAUGGCGAAGGCAGCCCCCUGGGCCAAUACUGACGCUCAUGCACGAAAGCGUGGGGAGCAAACAGGAUUAGAUACCCCAGUAGUCCCUGUCUCUUAUAA
rnacentral:rRNA from 1 species